rnacentral:misc_RNA from 1 species
GAUGAAGAACGUAGCGAAAAGCGAUACGUAAUGUGAAUUGCAGAAUUCAGUGAAUCAUCGAAUCUUUGAACGCAUAUUGCGCUCUCUGGUAUUCCGGAGAGCAUGCUUGUUUGAGUAUCAGUAAACACCUCAACUUCCAUAUCUUUUUUUGAAAUGGGAGUUGGACUUGAGUGAUCCCAACGCUUUUCCUCACCGAAAAGUGGCGGGUUACUUGAAAUGCAGGUGCAGCUGGACUUUUCUCUGAGCUAUAAGCAUAUCUAUUUAGUCUGCCUAAAAAACAGAUUAUUACCUUUGCUGCAGCUAACAUAAAGGAGAUUAGUUCUUGUGCUGACUGAUGCAGCAUUCACAAAGACAGCUUCGGCCGACUUUGUAAACUCGAUCUCAAAUCAAGUAAGACUACCCGCUGAACUUAAGCAUAUCAAUAAGCGGAGGA